rnacentral:rRNA from 1 species
CUUUACUCCAGCUUUGCAGUGGUAUGAGGGAUUGCAUGUGUAGAAUAGGUGGGACGCUUUGAAGCUUUGGCGCUAGCCAGAGUGGAGCGGUCGGUGAAAUACCACCCUUGCGAUCCUUUAUAUCUAACCAAGCCCGCUGAAUCGCGGGCUGGGACCCUGCAUGGUGGGGAGUUUGACUGGGGCGGUCGCCUCCCAAAGAGUAACGGAAGCGCGCAAUGGUGGGCUCAAACUGGUCGGAAAUCAGCUGUUGAGUGCAAAGGCAUAAGCCCGCCUGACUGCGAGACCAACAAGUCAAGCAGAGACGAAAGUCGGCCUUAGUGAUCCGGUAGUUCCAAGUGGACAGGCCAUCGCUCAACGAAUAAAAGGUA